AGAAAACAUGAGAGAGCGGCUCAGUCAGAAAAUACUGGAGAAAAUGACGGACAGACACAAGAACUGAACAACUGUCUGCAUUGACCAGGCUUGGGACGUGCACAAGCAGGACUCUGGUUAGUGCCUAAUCUUCAGAGCACCUGAUUGGAGGAGGAUCCCUUCAGCUGACCUGUUUAUACAGACCACCGUCUUUGUUUUAACAGCUUGACGUUUGUCCACAAGUGCGUUGACCUGGAGCUCUGCCGCGUGUGGGAGGAGCUUCCGUCAAAGACCUUUCUCGAAGUCAUCAUGGAGAAUGCGGAUGAUGAGAUUUAAGAUUGACCAAAAUGAUUUGACCACAUCAGAGGGAUUCGCCCCCAACAACUCACAAAUCUCGGGGGAAACAAACAUCCGCUUUGAGUCUCACCGGCGUUCCU